rnacentral:lncRNA from 1 species
GAGCCUUACGAGUAUGGAAGCUCACCACUUCAAGUCAACUCAAGAUGUCCUCAAAUCUAAGUCACUGAGCAGGAGGGGUGAUAGUAUGACCAGUUCCUGCAUCGCAUGGGGAUAUACCGUCGAAUACGAUUAGCAGUUGGAGCACUAGCAUGUAACUCAAGGAUAAGGCUAAAAUAAUGCCAACAUUUCAAAACCAAUCAUCCAAUACAUAUAACCAAUGCAAUACAUACAUAUAUAUACACACACAUACAUAUAUAUAUACAUCAUGCCGGGAUAGGGAAUAGGAUUAGCAUGAGCUUUGAAAAUAUUAACCUGGGAUGUGUAGCAUAACCGUCAAAUAUCAAGGUACCUAUGGUCUAUAUGGGUCCAGCUCUCUCUAGCUGAAAGGCCCCAGUACGUGUAGGCGCACGAACCAAAGAAUAUCCAAAACCGUAUAUGCCUGUAUGGGGGACUCAAACCUCUCAACAUAAUCAAGGUGACUUAAGAACCAAUACAUGUAUUAUGGGGUACUCAAACCGCCCAUUCACAUAUUCAAUCGGGGGACUCGAACCACCCGAUCAUAAAGAUACUCAUACUGCUAGAAUGGUUUCCAGUGUUAGUCCGUUGGACUUCACUUUCACAGCCUGGCUACAUAUCCUACUUUAAAGUCCAAUUUAAAAUCAUCAUUUCACAUACACAACAAUUAAGCCAAUUACUUACCAAAGGCACUCUGUUAGUAUCGUCAUACCAGCACCACUUGUAAGCGUAGCACAUUCCAUUACCAUUGUCAAUCAACCAAUCAUUUAUUUGACUUUAGGACUCGAACCUAUUGUCUAACAAAGGCACUAAUUCAAUUCAAAGUUUAGGGACUCGAACCCAUUAUCUAGUAAAGACAUAUAUCAAUUUAAUGUUUAGGGACUCAAACCCUUUUAACCAAUUAAACUACCAAGGUUACCAUUUAAAUCAUUACCUGGCCAACAAGGCCUUCACAAAAUCAUUUACCAACCAUUCAUAUUCAUUAGGCCAGUACCUUAGUUCAAAACACCAUUUAACACAUGACUAGUUCAUUCUCUUAGACAUUUUCACAAACAUAUCGAGGGCAUACCAUUACCAAGACCAAAAUCAAAGUAAAAACCAUCAAGUUUGGGUUUAACCAUGAUCUAAUUGUUAAACUACAAUUACCAAGCACCCACACGUGCAAAACUGUCAUUAAAAUAUCUGUAAAACCAAUUUAAACCAAGAGUAAACCAUUCUCAACAAUUUGCAACAAAACCCUCAACAUUGGUUUCCAAAACCACCCUUAAUGAAUCAUAAACAAAGCUUUAAACACAUAAUUUUUACUAACUAACAAUGAGGGAAGAGUCAUAUGCCUUAUUCACGAAGAUUCACAGAAAGAACUUGACUCUUGAGGUUCUAGAUGAACACUUGAAGAAAACCCUAGCCCUAUCUUCUUGAGAGAGUUUAGAGAGAUCUUAAAGAGUGAUUUGAUUUUUUAAAGUGUGUUACGAGAGGAUACAAUGUGUUUUAAGACAUGGGGUCUUAAGGGUUAUGGGGUAGGAAAUAUCUAAAAUGUCCUCAAUAUAAAAGUUGAAAAAUGUGUGUAGGAAGGUACAACUCCCCUCUAACUCGUACACACAACAUACGAGUGGUACCCACCACUCAUACCUUAGACAUAAUGUUGGACUCCAAUCCUGUCCAACAUACGAUUUCAUUGGCUAACUCGUAUCACUAAUACCCUAGACAACCUACCAAGAUCUUGACACACUGAGUAACAUACGAGUGGUUUUACCCACUCGUACAAUCUCCAUACAACUCGUAUGGUGUCCAUUUGUACCUUGGACAGUAACCAACCAAAAUCAUAUUGAGUAACAUAUGACCAAGACCCCUAAACCGUACCCACAUCAAACGACAAGUAAGUACAACCGAUGAAUGAUCACCCGCACACUUCCUCAACAUAAAGACAUAAAAAACUAGAUGAAUGGAUCUCAAGUUAGAAGGCAACUCUAACUCAUAGGUAACAUUACCAACCCUCUUCAAAACCAAAUACGUACCAACACACCGAGGACUAAUCUUUCCUUUCUUACCAAACUGCAUCACUCUCUUCAUGGGAGACACCUUUAGGAAUACCCAAUCGCCAACCUUAAAUUCUAACUCCCUACGCCUCAUAUUAGCAUAGGAUUUUAGCAACUUUGAGCAUCUUUCAACCUAUCGCAAAUUACUUUCACCUUUUCCAAGGCUUGGUGAACCAAAUAAGGGCCAAACAACUUACCCUUACAAACCUCAUACUACCCAAUAGGAGAACAACAUCUUUUACCAUACAACGCCUCAAAAGGAGCCAUACCAAUGCUAGAGUGAUAACUAUUAUUAUAAGCAAGCUUUAUAAUAGGCAAAUGGUCAACCCAACUACCAGCAUAGUCAAUCAUACAAGCACGAAGCAUAUCCUCCCGUUUUAUCUCUUUACGGAUUUCUUUUGGUGAGAAAAUAGUUUUUACCCUCUCAAAACUAUUUCAAAAGUUUCAAAAAAAAAUCAAAAUAAUAAGAAAUUUCACAGAGUCCCCAGUUGAUUUUUAUAGAAAAAAUUUAAAAGAGUUUCAAAGGUUCAAAAAUAGAAAUAAACCUUUAAAACUAGAGAUAAUGGGUUAGGGUUCAAUUAACGCCCCAAGAAGGUUUUUAAGGCACUUAGGUGCUUCUAUUUAAAACAUUGUACCAAAUAAGAACUAACUUGACUAAUUAAAGUGGCUAAUUUUUGUAAAGACUCGAUUUUAUAGAAUAUAUUAAAAUUAUUUAUUUAAAUAUUUAAAAAUGAUAUUUAUUUAUUCAAAGGAGAAAAUAAGUUAUUUGAAUUGAACUAAAUUGUAACUUUCCGGACUUAAGAGAAAAAUGAUUUUGCUUUCGUGGAGAAAGAAAAGAUUACGAGAUUAUUUUCUUAUUAUUAAUUAUUAUAAAAAAAGUCAAUUAGGUUAUAGAUAAUACCUUUGGAAAAAAUAUUAAGAGAGUAAAAACAGCUUCGCUAAUUUUUGAAGAGUUCAUUUUCAAAACAAAUUAGUUUAUUAGACUUAGAGAUUAGUUUCAUAGGUUUUGGAGAAAAUUAUUUUAUCCAAAUAAAUGAUUAAUCAUAUGAACAAAAUAAAUGUUGUGAAUAAAAUACUUAAUCUUUAGAAGACUUGUUUUAAAGAGAAAAUGGAAGGAACCAAUUUAAUUCAUUUUAAAACAAUGUAAAAUUAUGUGAAGAAAUUAUAGAUUAAGUGAAAGAAAACUAAGAUAAAACAAAAUUAUAACACUUUAAGGGGUUUAUCUAGGUUAAUUGAUUAAAAGGCUAGUUAACACGAAUAAACAAGGGCAAAAUUCAGAAAUAACAUACUUAUCUCCUUAAUUAUGAGUUUCAUAGAAAAAGUUUCAUAAUUACAUAAUAUAACAAGUUGUAUUUUGCAAACUGUUGCUACAAAAAUACAAAUACAUAUGAUUUUUACUGCCCUUAUGAUCGAUAUGUAUUUUGUAUUUUUGCAAACUAUUGCUACAAAAAUACAAAUACAUAUGCUACAAAAUGUAAUUUUAUUAAAGUAUUAUUAUUUUUUAUAAUUUAAUACGUAAGUAUGCUACUUCAUGUAUUUUUUUCAAUAAACAAUACAAGCUACAAAAAUAAUACAAGAAUUGAAAUUGGGCCCUUAGUUAGCCCAUCAAUAAAACUGUCCAGCUUUUGGGCCAUUCUUUAUGGACUUUUGAUCCAUUUCUGCAGUGUAUACCCAGUUGUAUACUAACUGUAUAUCACAACUAGUGGUGUACAAACCAAACCAUCAAGUCAAACUGAGAAAAAAAUCGACUUAUAAUUUGGUUUGAUUGAUUUUGACUUUAGCAAAAAAAUUCGACCAUUCUUGGUUUGGUUUGGUGUUAACAAAAAAAAGUCAAAUCGAACCCGAAUCAAACACACACACACACAUAUAUAUAUAAUAUCCAAACUUUUUUAUACAUAAAACAUUAAUUAUAAUCUACUUUUUAAAUACUUUUCAAUAAUAUGAAAGUAGAUGUAGAUAUAUACAUAUAAAGUAGCAUACUUAAUAUUAAAUUACAAAAAAUAGCAACACUUUUAUCAAAUUACAUUUUGUAGCAUAUGUAUUUGUAUGUAUUUGUAUUUUUGUAGCAACAGUUUGCAAAAAUACAAAAAUACAUUUCAUCAUAAGGGCAAUAAAAAUCAUAUAUAUUUGUAUUUUUGUAGCAACAAUUUGUAAAAAUAUAAAAUACAACUUGCUAUAUUAUAUAAUUAUGAAAUUGUUGGUAUGAAACUCAUAAUUAAAGGGAUAAAUAUGCUAUUUUUGAAUUUUGCCCUAUAUAUAUUUAGAUUUGGAUCUUUAAAUUGUAAUAUUUGUUCAUUAAUUGCUAAUUAAAUAAUCAAAAAUCCAAUAUAAACUUAAAACCUAAACUUUUCGCUCUUCAUCUCACUUUUUAAUUUCAAGUGAGUUUUACACUCCUCAUUUUUUCAUAAUUAUGGCUUUUCAUUAGCACAUGAGUGAAAACAUAUUUGAUCUAGUCUUCGAUCACAAUAUAAUUGUAAAAACUAAAUAUUAUAAAAAAAAUUCAAACAAACCGAAAAAUCAAAAACCCCAAAAAAAUCGACUAAAACCUAAAUCGAAAAAAUCAAUUUUAUGUUGGUUUGAUUUAAUUUAUAGUUUUAAUAAACCGACAUGAUUGAUUUGAUUUUUUUUGUAAUAAAAACUGAACUAACCCGACCUAUGUACACCCCUAAUCACAGCCCUUCACCCUUGUGUUUUUGUGUAUAUUUCCAUGUAUAUACUGUAUACCAAUGUAGAAAUCAGCAUAUUCUCUCUCCAUAUUUCAUUCUACACUGUAGAUGGUAUGCAGCUACGACUUCCAGUGUAUACACACUGUAUAUCAGCGUAUAGCAGCCUGUAUACGUGUGCUAUCCUGUGUAUAUCAGUCCGAAUUUGGAUUCCAUGAGGCUUGACUCGACGGACAUCGAAUGCGAAGAAAUGGGGAGUCCGAUCGGCCUCGUUCAGGAGGGUUCAUGCAAAAUAAAGAAAGGAUAAGGAUUAGAACUUACUAGAUUAGAAGCAAAUUAUCGUAUGUAAUCAAAUCAUUGGACCGAAUUGUGUUGAAACAAGAAUUGAUCUCGGUUUAGGAAAAACACAUGUUUGUUGGUAACUAUCAUUUUUAUCUUAAAUUCAUAUGCUUAAGUCUAAGGAAUUUAGAAGAGGCAGUGAUGAACCCAUGAAAACAACUUUGAACCGAACCUGGGCGAAAGACAAAUUUUAAAAGAAACAAGGUUCCCUUUUGUUAACUUCCACAAAGAGAUGAUACUGAUUCUUUCCAAGUCUCAGAAAUCAUAGGAAAUUCCUUGGAAUUUGAGUAGCCCACGUCUCACGCAAAUGUGUGCAGUGGUUAUAUCUCACACAUGCCUCUUUAAAUGUAGAAUUUUCAGAUGAAGACAAUGAAUGAUCUACGUCUCAUUUAUGUCAAGAUCAACUAGAACUAUGUGGAGAGCAAUUGUAUGGUCUAGAAUUGAGUAAAGUAAUAGGUAACCUGUAUCAUCAAGAACAAGAAUUGAACAAACGUACAAAUUAGAAUAAAACUUAAGUUAUCAUCCAUAGUGUUUAUCAAUGACUUUAGAUUAAAAGGGACAAACAAAUUUCAAAUUAAGUAAGGCCCUUCAAGUUUUUUAAAUUAGAUGGACAGAAUAAAAUUUUUUUGAGGUUUUUAUAAAAGUUUUUUCGUUCCAACAAUUUCUUCAUGUUGUUGAACAACUUUGAUAGUUGUUCGACAACUUUGUGAAGUUGUUCAACAACUAUCAAAGUUGUUCGACAACUUCUCCCAGUUGCCAAACAACAGCACGAAGUUGUUCGUAAACUUUGCGAAGUUGAGACAAUUAGUACAAUUAUCGAACAACUAUUUCAAUUGUUCAAGGGACUAUUUUUUUUAACUUUAUAAGAUUAUGGGACCUAUUUAUCCCCUUGUUUUAAUUAAAGGCCUGAGAGGUCUAUGAACUCAUUUUUCUCCUGUUCUUUAAUAUGUUGUUUAAGUUUUAUUUUUAUUAGAUUGUAGUGCUGACAUAUACCAUUAGCAUCUUGGGAUAUACUGCAAACAGAAUGGAGUUCAGGAACCAACCAACAAACUUUUUAAGAUAAGCCACUCCAAGAACAUUGAUGAAAAAGAUAUCAAGAAAUAAAUUUGUUGAACAGGACCAACUAUUUAUUCAAAACCCAACAAUGAAAUUACGCUAAAUAUUAGUCUUAACAAAAAUCAGGGGUGACACCAAAUGACUGAACGACGAAUUAUAACGAUCAACAAACUAACGACUGAAACAAAACUAACAUAAAUGAAGUAAGAUGAGGAACGACUAAUUACCUUUCUCCGGGUAGAAACAAGGACGGACGAGCUUAUAACGAUGAAGCUUCCACCAGCAAAAUCUAAUUCAACUCAACCGAGUUCAAACAAGUUCGUUGGAGUUAUCGUUUCGAAUUCUUCGGUUACGUGGGAUUAUUCUCCAAAAUCCUCAAUUUUUCCCCAAAAAAUCCUCCUCCUUAUUCACUCUACAUAUGUGGGUAUUUAUAGGUGAUUCGGGACUAAUUUGGGGGGAAACAAAUAAGAAAUCGAUGAUAAAAAAUUUGAAAUUCAAACUCAAAGUAAUCGUAACCGUCCGCAUUCAUACGAAAUCGAUUUUGAGAAAAAUUAGGAUUAAUAGCUAUUGUUGUUGACUUCUCGUUUUGGUUCUUGGUGUGGGGUCGCUGUUGUUGCAGCUGUUAUCGUUGUCGUUUGUGGAAGUUGUGUUUCCGUCGGGUCGGGUGCGGGUUGAUCGGGUUUUGUAUUGAAAUUGUUGCUGGUUGUACGGUUUUUGGUUGGAGCUGUUAUUAACGUCGCUGCUUUGCCGGGAUUGUAACGAAGGUGUUGCUGAACUUGUUUGGUUGAUUUUGUUGUUUGCUGUUAACGCUGUUGAGGGGAAGGAGAAAUAAGGUUGUUGGCCGGGUCGUGAAUUGGGCUGGUUGUUGCGGCGGUUUGGAGUGAGCUAUUAAGUAUAUUUGAAAAUUACAUAAAUACACAACUUAUGUUUUUAAUAUUACAAAAAAUUUCAACUCCCUAAAAAUAUUAUAAAAAUUUCAACAUAUAUACAGAAUGCUAUGUAUAUGUUGGCUAUGUUAUGUAUAUUAAUAAGGAGUGAAAGCAAAGUAAUUAAAAAA